rnacentral:lncRNA from 1 species
AUCUACUACACACAAUACUCCAUAAUAUAAAAAGGGGAAUUCUGUUUUUAGAGAUCUUUACAAGUUAAUUUAAAAAAAAAAUGAUAUGUCUUGAGUCAAUAAGUAGAUAAGUAUUUUCAGUGGCUUGCGACGGCUCACUCGUAAAUUUUAAGUGAAUCCAAACCUUACCUUUGUUUCCUCAGAGACUUCCUCUAGCUGACGGCUUCCGACGUCAAACUUCAAUCCCACCGUGUAGGCGGAAAUACCCAUCUGGCAAGUACGGGAAAUGUUUAUAGUGUCCUUGUUUCUACAUGUUUUCCAAGAAAAGCCUUUAUUGGAGGAUGCUUUUCUUGAUGGAAAGAAGAAAGCCUGUGUAUAUUCA